rnacentral:lncRNA from 1 species
UGAAAAUAACAGUAAGGGACAUACCAUAGGGCAAGGGAGCUUUGGACCUGUUCAAGGCUUCCCUCAUGGCAUCUAUCAUCAGGAAGAGAAGAUUCAGGAGAGUCUCUAAAACUACAUGGUGCAUCAGACAAAUAUCUCUUUGCUUCAUCAGAUCAUAUCUUCCUCCUCUGGAGAAAAAAAUUCUAGACACCAUGUGGUGGAGUAGCCUCAUCUCCACACUAAGAUCUUUGGCCUCAAUCUUCAAGAUCCCUUCCACAUCAUCUCUCCCUAGUAUGAUCCUAAGACCAAUCUCUUUCUUAGAUAAUUCAUCUAAACAACUACCCUCACA